CCUACGGGGGGCUGCAGUGGGGAAUAUUGGACAAUGGGGGAAACCCUUAUCCAGCGACGCCGCGUGAGGGAAGAAGGUUUUCGGAUUGUAAACCUCUGUCAGUGGGGACGAUAAUGACGGUACCCACGGAGGAAGCCACGGCUAACUACGUGCCAGCAGCCGCGGUAAUACGUAGGUGGCAAGCGUUGUCCGGAUUUACUGGGUGUAAAGGGCGUGCAGCCGGGCCGACAAGUCAGAUGUGAAAUCCGCGGGCUUAACCCGGGAACUGCAGUUGAAACUAUAGGUCUUGAGUGCCGGAGAGGAAAUCGGAAUUCCUUGUGUAGCGGUGAAAUGCGUAGAUAUAAGGAAGAACACCAGUGGCGAAGGCGGAUUACUGGACGGUAACUGACGGUGAGGCGCGAAAGCGUGGGGAGCAAACAGGAUUAGAUACCCCAGUAGUC
rnacentral:rRNA from 1 species